rnacentral:rRNA from 1 species
AUGAUAUUUGAAGGAUUGAAGGCCGUGGAGGAGUUCUACAAAUCUUAUGCACAUCAAUCUGGUUUUGGAGUUCGUAUUGGGCAACAAAAGAAGUUAGAAAAUGAGGUAGUUCGCACUAAACGAUACAUGUGUAAUAGACAAGGAUUUAAGUCUGAAAAUGGUAACAAGAUUGACGAUCCAUCAAAGAAGAGGCGUAAGAACACAGACAUAAGGUGCGGUUGUGAUGCACACAUCUUUGUGAAGUUAUGUGCUAAUGAUACCUACAAGAUAGAAUCAUGGGUCAAGCACCACAACCAUGGUCUUGUGUCACUGGAUAAGCGUCAUUUGAUCAGAUCAAAUCGCCGAGUUAGCGAGAGGGCAAAGAACACAUUGUACACAUGCAGCAAAGCAAGCAUAUGCACCUGCCAGGCAUACAGGCUCCUACACGUCAGCGAGGGUGGAUUUGCGAAUGCUGGAUGCAUGAAAAGGGACUUGCAAAACUACUACCGUGACCUCAGAUUAAAAAUUAGGAAUGCAGAUGCUCAAAUGUUUGUGGCCCAGCUAGGUAGAAAGCAGGAAGUUAAUUCAGCAUUUUUCUAUGAUUUUGUUGUCAGUGCUGAAGGAAAGUUGAUGUAUGUGUUCUGGGCAGAUGCCACAAGCAGGAAGAACUACAAACAUUUCGGUAGUGUGGUGUCCUUUGAUUCUACAUAUACUACUAAUCAGUAUGACAUGAUCUUUGCACCAUUUACAGGAGUUAAUCAUCAUUUACAAAGUGUGUUCUUUGGUGCUGCGUUCUUACUAAAUGAGAAGACCGAGUCAUAUGUCUGGUUGUUUGAGACCUUCCUGAAGGCAAUGGGAGGUGUAGCGCCGACACUCAUCAUAACCGAUGAAGCUACUAGCAUUAAGAAUGGAAUUGAUGAAGUUUUUCCAACCUCAGUACACAGGCUGUGCAUGUGGCAUAUAAUGGAAAAACUUCCUGAGAAGCUUGGACCUGCGAUUAGAGAAGAAUCUGAAUUUUGGAAGAGGAUGAAUGCAUGUGUAUGGGGUUCAGAAACCGUGACCGAGUUUGAGUUAGAGUGGAAUUCUAUAAUUUCAGAGUAUGGGUUGGAGGAUAAUGAAUGGUUGACUAAAAGGUUUAGCCUCAGAGAGUCAUGGAUACCAGCCUAUUUUAUGGACAUACCACCGGCAGGCAUUCUUCGAACUACUUCAAGGUCUGAAAGUGCAAAUUCAUUCUUUAACCGAUUCAUUCAUCGCAGGCUCACUUUUGUUGAGUUCUGGCUUAGGUUUGAAACGGCUUUAGAAUGUCAACGUCAAGAGGAGUUGAUUGCCGACAAUUCAAGCAUCCAUAGGAUCCCCCAACUAGUGACACCGUGGGCAAUGGAGAAACAAGGUAGUCAAGUAUUCACACAUGAAGUGUUUGGGAAAUUUCAGGAACAAGUUAUUGCAGCAAGAGAUAAUUGUUGUGUUCAAGGAAUUGCACAAGAUGGGGGAAUAAAAGUAGUGACCUUCAAAACGGGAGCCAGUAGGGUAAGGGAGGUCCGUUGUGACACGACAACCAUGAUAGCUAACUGUUCAUGCAAGUUAUAUGAGUCACAUGGAAUCCCAUGCCGCCAUAUUGUCCAAGUGAUGCGAAUUGAAAAUCAAAAGGAGCUUCCAACCUUCUAUAUUAUGGAAAGAUGGAAGAAACAGUGUAAAAGUGAGAGUGUUUACGAUGAGCAAGGGAACCUUCUAGAAGAAAAUCCCACCGAUUCCUUGGAUGCAGCCGCAAGGAAGAAGAUUUCAACAGUACGCAACAAGUUGGAAGAUCUAAUUCAAAGAGCCAAGCAAUCAGAUGAAGGCAUGAGCUUUUUAGUAUCAAGUGUUCUGAGCAUUGAGGAGCCUCUGAACCAAAUGGUUCCCAAUGCAGUCAAGCACACUAGGCAAGAGGAAUAUGAGGCGUUUAUUGGUUGCAACAUUCCUACUCAAGUUGACAUACACCCGCCAAAUGAUGGCCAUUCGGUAGGGAGAUGUAAAAGAAUAAAAAGAGCAAAGGAAAUGAAUGGGGAAAAACAAAAGGAGAAGAAAAAAGAAGCCAAGGCCAAGGUCGCACGCUUGUGCAAGACGUGCAACCAAAUAGGGUUUCAUGACAGUCGCAAUUGUCCUAGCAAAAAAGGUCAUGGAAAAGAAGCCAUGAAUGUGCAACAAAUGCUUCCAGAUGGUGCAUGA